rnacentral:rRNA from 1 species
CCCUUAGAUGUUCUGGGCUGCACGCGCGCUACACUGAAGCGUUCAACGAGUAUUCACCUUGCCCGGGAGGGUUGGGUAAUCUUUUGAAAACGCUUCGUGAUGGGGAUAGAUUAUUGCAAUUAUUAAUCUUCAACGAGGAAUUCCUAGUAAGCGCGAGUCAUCAGCUUGCAUUGAUUACGUCCCUGCCCUUUGUACACACCGCCCGUCGCACCUACCGAUUGAAUGGUCCGGUGAAAUCUCCGGACUGGCGUGAGUCGGAGCAAUCUGACAAACACCGGAAAGUUGAUUAAACCUUACCAUUUAGAGGAAGGUGAAGUCGUAACA